CGUAACAAGGUUUCAUCUACAGUAGCCUUUGCAUCCUGGUCCGCAUCAGGAGGCCCCCACGACUGAAAAUAAUGGUGGCCGUUUGCAAGUCAGGACUCGUCUUGGCGACACAGCUAAAUUAUCGGGGACUUCCAGGCUUCGCGGCCCGGAAGAUCCGUAGCACGUCAGUGUUCACAGGCUAAAUAGUUGUGGGUUCAGCCAGCAGGCUGGGCUUAAGAUAUAGUCGGUCCCUGUGAUGGAUCACAGGGAGACAACGUUCCGUAGGUGAACCUGCGGAAGGAUCAUUA
rnacentral:rRNA from 1 species